rnacentral:rRNA from 1 species
GGACGAACGCUGGCGGCGUGCUUAACACAUGCAAGUCGAACGGAAAGGCCCUGCUUGCAGUGAUACUCGAGUGGCGAACGGGUGAGUAACACGUGGGUGAUCUGCCCUGCACUUCGGGAUAAGCUUGGGAAACUGGGUCUAAUACCGGAUAGGAACCAUCUUUAGUGUGGUGGUUGGAAAGUUUUUUCGAGUGUAGGAUGAGCUCGCGGCCUAUCAGCUUGUUGGUGGGGUAAUGGCCUACCAAGGCGGCGACGGGUAGCCGGCCUGAGAGGGUGUACGGCCACAUUGGGACUGAGAUACGGCCCAGACUCCUACGGGAGGCAGCAGUGGGGAAUAUUGCACAAUGGGCGCAAGCCUGACGCAGCGACGCCGCGUGGGGGAUGAAGGCCUUCGGGUUGUAAACUCCUUUCGCUAGGGACGAAGCUUUUUGUGACGGUACCUAGAUAAGAAGCACCGGCUAACUACGUGCCAGCAGCCGCGGUAAUACGUAGGGUGCGAGCGUUGUCCGGAAUUACUGGGCGUAAAGGGCUCGUAGGUGGUUUGUCGCGUCGUCUGUGAAAUUCUGGGGCUUAACUCCGGGCGUGCAGGCGAUACGGGCAUAACUUGAGUGCUGUAGGGGUAACUGGAAUUCCUGGUGUAGCGGUGAAAUGCGCAGAUAUCAGGAGGAACACCGAUGGUCGAAGGCAGGUUACUGGGCAGUUACUGACGCUGAGGAGCG